rnacentral:rRNA from 1 species
UACGGAGGGUGCAAGCGUUAUCCGGAAUCACUGGGUUUAAAGGGUGCGUAGGCGGUGGCGUAAGUCAGUUGUGAAAUUCCCCGGCUUAACCGGCGGGACUGCGAUUGAUACUGCGUUACUUGAAUCAGGUUGAGGUAGGCGGAAUGUGACAUGUAGCGGUGAAAUGCUUAGAUAUGACAUAGAACACCAAUUGCGAAGGCAGCUCACUACACAGCGAUUGACGCUGAGGCACGAAAGCGUGGGGAUCAAACAGG